AUUGAACGCUGGCGGCAUGCCUUACACAUGCAAGUCGAACGGUAACAGAUCUUCGGAUGCUGACGAGUGGCGAACGGGUGAGUAAUACAUCGGAACGUGCCUAGUAGUGGGGGAUAACUACUCGAAAGAGUGGCUAAUACCGCAUGAGAUCUACGGAUGAAAGCAGGGGAUCGCAAGACCUUGCGCUACUAGAGCGGCCGAUGGCAGAUUAGGUAGUUGGUGGGAUAAAAGCUUACCAAGCCGACGAUCUGUAGCUGGUCUGAGAGGACGAUCAGCCACACUGGGACUGAGACACGGCCCAGACUCCUACGGGAGGCAGCAGUGGGGAAUUUUGGACAAUGGGCGCAAGCCUGAUCCAGCAAUGCCACGUGCAGGAUGAAGGCCUUCGGGUUGUAAACUGCUUUUGUACGGAACGAAAAGCCCUGGGUUAAUACCCUGGGGUCAUGACGGUACCGUAAGAAUAAGCACCGGCUAACUACGUGCCAGCCGCCGCAGUAAUAC
rnacentral:rRNA from 1 species